rnacentral:rRNA from 1 species
GGGAAUAUUGGGCAAUGGGCGCAAGCCUGACCCAGCCAUGCCGCGUGAAGGAAGACGGCCCUAGUGGUUGUAAACUUCUUUUGUAACAGAGAAAACUUGGGUACGUGUACCUAAUUGAUAGUAUGUUACGAAUAAGGAUCGGCUAACUCCGUGCCAGCAGCCGCGGUAAUACGGAGGAUCCAAGCGUUAUCCGGAUUUAUUGGGUUUAAAGGUGCGCAGGCGGAUGUAUAAGUCAGAGGUGAAAGUCUACAGCUUAACUGUAGGACUGCCUUUGAUACUGUAUAUCUUGAGUAUAGUUGGCGUAGGCGGAAUGUGUCAUGUAGCGGUGAAAUGCAUAGAUAUGACACAGAACACCGAUCGCGAAGGCAGCUUACGAAACUAUAACUGACGCUCAUGCACGAAAGCGUGGGAGC